GACGAACGCUGGCGGCGUGCUUAACACAUGCAAGUCGAACGGAAAGGCCCUGCUUUUGUGGGGUGCUCGAGUGGCGAACGGGUGAGUAACACGUGAGUAACCUGCCCUUGACUUUGGGAUAACUUCAGGAAACUGGGGCUAAUACCGGAUAGGAGCUCCUGCUGCAUGGUGGUGGUUGGAAAGUUUCGGCGGUUGGGGAUGGAAUCGCGGCUUAUCAGCUUGUUGGUCGGGUAGUGGCUUACCAAGGCUUUGACGGGUAGCCGGCCUGAGAGGGUGACCGGCCACAAUGGGCCUGCGAUACGCAGCAGACUCCUAUGGGCGGCAGAAGGGGGGAAUAUUGCACAAUGGGCGGAAGCCUGAUGCAGCAACGCCGCGUGCGGGAUGACGGCCUUCUGGUUGUAAACCGCUUUGGCCUGUGACGAAGAGUGAGUGACGGUAAUGGGUCAAGAAGCAACGGCUAACUACGUG
rnacentral:rRNA from 1 species